rnacentral:rRNA from 1 species
GACGAACGCUGGCGGCGUGCUUAACACAUGCAAGUCGAACGGAAAGGCCCUGCUUUUGUGGUGUGCUCGAGUGGCGAACGGGUGAGUAACACGUGAGUAACCUGCCCUUGACUUUGGGAUAACUUCAGGAAACUGGGGCUAAUACCGGAUAGGAGCUCCUGCUGCAUGGUGGGGGUUGGAAAGUUUCGGCGGUUGGGGAUGGACUCGCGGCUUAUCAGCUUGUUGGUGGGGUAGUGGCUUACCAAGGGUUUGAGGGGUAGCCGGCCUGAGAGGGUGACCGGCCACAUUGGGACUGGGAUACGGCCCAGACUCCUACGGGAGGCAGAAGUGGGGAAUAUUGCACAAUGGGCGGAAGCCGGAUGCAGCAACGCCGGGUGCGGGAUGACGGCCUUCGGGUUGUAAACCGCUUUCGCCUGUGACGAAGCGUGAGUGACGGUAAUGGGUAAAGAAGCACCGGCUAACUACGUG